ensembl:snRNA U6 U6 spliceosomal RNA
GUACUCACUUCAGCAGCACAUAUACUAAAACUGGAGCUAUCCAGAGAAGAUUAGAGAGGACUCUGCAUGAAGGAUGACACAAAUUCUGAAGCAUUCCUUAUUUUU